CGGGGCGGAACCCGGGCGCCUGGUGGAAGAAAACCACCCCCUUCUUGGAAGUGACCCAGACGCACCUCACCGACCUUCUAGUUUACCCAGAUGGUGCCUUCCUUUCCUCUCAACUUCCUUUUUUCUUCUCUUCUCCCCUUCCUUCCUUUUUGAGGUCAUACCUCUCUAAGAACACUAAACAGAUGUUUUAAUCUGACAGACCUGUAAGGUACGUACUACUUCUAUUAUGUCCACUUCACAGAAAACUAAGGCUUUGGCCAAGCUCAAAGAAUUAGGAGGUUAUAAGGAACCUAGAACCAGAGGCCUUGGCUCCUACCUUUAUGCAGAACAUGAUAAAUAUCCACGUAUUAUAAAGUGAAGCAUUUACGCGACUUAUGGAACCUACCACAUGCAAGGCAGAGGAAUGAAAUGGGAGUCCUGGAGGAAUUUACGUUCCAGCUGGGUAGGUAACACAUAUACGGUCCAUUAUGAUGCAAGAUAGAAAACAGCAAGAGCCAGAAGUAAAUCCAUUUAUUCAUUCAACCAAUACCCUGGUAGCUAUCAUUUGAAUCCAGAUCCCUAAAUGGAAUUCAGACAAAUAAUUUAGACAGGGUGUAUAUAACGUUUAUUAACUUUAUCUUUGCAUACAAGUGAAUAAAAUAACAUAAAUGCAGAUUUAUUAUUAUUAUUUUUUUUUAGAGACAGUCUCACUUUGUCACCCUCAGUAGAGUGCUGUAACAUCACAGCUGACAGCAACCUCCAGCUCUCAGGCUUAGGUGAUUCUCUUGCCUCAGCCUCCCAAGUAGCUGGGACUACAGGUGCUCGCCACAAUGCCUGGCUAUUCUUUGUUGCAAUUUGGCUGGGGCUGGGUUUGAACCCCCCGCCCUCCGUAUAUGGGGCCAGAGCCCUGCUCACUGAGCCACAGGGGCCACCCAUAAAUGCUGAUUUUUUAAAAAUCUGGAGGCCCAGGUGGGUGAAUUGCCUAAGCUCAAGAGUUCAAGACCAGCCUGAGCCAGAGCAAGACCACAUCUCCAAAAAUAGCCAGGCAUUGUGGUGAGCACCUGUAGUCCCAGCUACUUGGGAGGCUGAGGCAAGAGAAUAGCCUAAGCCCUAGAGCUGGAGGUUGCUGUGAGCUGUGACACCACAGCACUCUACCGAAGGCGACAAGGUAAUACUGUCUCUAAAAAAAAUAAUAGAUGUAGCCGGACGUUGUGGCGGGCGCCUGUAGUCCCAGCUACUCGGGAGGCUGAGGCAAGAGAAUCGUUUAAGCCCAGGAGUUGGAGGUUGCUGUGAGCUGUGUGAGGCCACAGCACUCUACCGAGGGCCAUAAAGUGAGACUCUGUCUCUACAAAAAAAAAAAUAGAUGAUUUUGAGGUAUGCCUUAAAUAAUGAAAAGGAUAUCUAGUUAGGAGACUACUACAGCAAUGAAGGAAAAAGAGUUAAUACAAUAAAGAGAAACUUAAAGUUAUUGAGUUCAGGGAAUGGAAGUGUGGAGAAGUAUAAGGCAAUUCCAUUUGGGGAGUAAUGGGAUAAGGGCACUAAUGACAUAAAUAAAGAACAUGGAACUUAGAAAUGAAAACAUGAAAAAAAAAAACUAAAAAACUUAAAACAGAAAUGAAAACAUGACAUAAAGGAUCAUCUCCUUCAGGCAUAGUGGCUCCUGCCUUUAAUCCUAGUACUCUGGGAGGCUGAGGCAGGAGGAUGGCUUGAGCACAGGAGUUCCAGCUCAGCCUGAACAAGAGGGAGACCCCACUCUCUACUAAAAAUAGAAAAUUUAGCUGGGUGUGGUGGUGGGCAUCUGCUGUCACAGCUACUCAGGAGGCUGAGGCAGGAUUGCUUGUAGUUGUGACAAGCUAGGCUAGACACAGCAAUCUAGCAGGGACAAGAGUGAGAUCCUGCCUCAAAAAUAAGAAAAAUAAAAAUAAAAAAUAAUCCAUUGUAUACAAAAUUGCCACCAGGGGCUUUGUAAUCAGGAAGACCCGGGCCAGGCACAGCAGCUGACACCUGCAAUCCCAGCAUUCGGGGAGGCCAAUGUGGGUGGAUUGUCUGAGCUCAGGAGUUUGAGACCAGCCUGAGCCAGGGCAAGACCUUGUCUCUAAAAAUAGCAGGGCGUCAUGGGAGGUGCCUGUAGUCCCAGCUACUCAGGAGGCUGAGGCAAGAGAAUCAUUUAAGCUCAGGAGUUUGAGGUUACUGUGACCUAUGAACUCACAGCACUCUACCAAGGGUGAAAAGGGAUACUCUGUCUCAAAAAAAAAAAAAUAAUAAUAAUAAUAAAAAGAAGACCUGCUAUCACUAACAGAUCACUAGAGACAGAAGGCUCAAAGAAAGUAUAUAAAAUAGCUAGAAGUCAGUUCCCUUGCUCCUUAACGUGCUGGCAAUUUAAAAGGAAGUGGAGGGCAGCACCUGUGGCUCAAAGGAGUAGGGCACCAGCCCCAUAUACCAAAGGUGGCGGGUUCAAGCCCAGCCCUGGCCAAAAAACUGCAAACCACACCCCCCCAAAAAAAAACAAAAAUAAAAAAUAAAAGGGGAGUGAAGGGCGGUACCUGUGGCUCAAAGGAGUAGGGCGCUGGCCCCAUAUACCAGAAGUGGCAGGUUCAAACCCAGCCCCAGCCAAAAACUGCAAAAAAAAAGAAAGCAAAUAAAUAAAAAGGGAGUGCAGACUAUAUAUAUUAAUUGGCUUAUGUAACUGUAUGCAGCAAUGUAUCCAUCAAUCUAAAAUUUGGCCUAAGUAUUUCACUAUAACUGAGAAAGCCCAGUAAAACAGGGAUCAAGCAAGUGGCAUGAGUCCAGAUGGCUUCUAAGAGAUGAGUUUCCUGGCUCAGCACCAUACUGUUACAGUGCCAGCCACAUACACCGAGACUGGGGUUUGAACCCGGCCUGGGCCAGCUGAACGACAACUGCAACAAAAAAUAGCCAGACAUUGUGGCGGGUGCCUGGAGUGCCACUACUUGGGAAGCUGAGGCAAAAGAAUCCCUUGAGCCCAGGAGUUUGAGGUUGCUGUGAGCUGUGACACCAGGGCACCCUACCCAGGGUGACAUAGUGAGACUCAAGUCUCAAAGGAAAAAAAAUGAGUUUCCUGGUGCAUUGAAAGAAGACAAGAUUGGCAGGUAAGACACAAUCCAGACAGCAAACAAAUCUAGAGAUCAGAAAGUAAACUAGCGGUUGCCUAGGGCUGGAAUGGAUGUGAGGAAUGGGGGAUGAAUGGUAAAGGGUAAGAUUUUCUUUUAGGGGUAAAAAUCUUCUAAUGUUGAUUGUGGUGAUGGCUGCACAACUGAAUAUACUAAAAACACUGAGCUGUACAUUUUAAAUGGGCGAAUUGUAUGCUAGUGAAUUACAUCUCAAUAAAGCUGUUAACAAAACAGAAAAGAAAAAAUAAUCUAGGCAAAAAUUCAAAGGUAGGAACCGGUGAGAUGUGUGGCAUGACCUUUGCUGCUCGAUGACAGUGGUCUGCAGUGAUAGCAAGACAAGACCCUGGAGAAGCCAAAGGAGCAAUAAAGGUGGAAACAAAGUUCCCCAAUGAUUUGUUCAUCAUUUCUUUUUAUUUUUAAUUUCAGCUUGCUUGUUCAUUCUUCUUUGUUUGAAGUAUUCUUUUUUGUUGUUGUUCAUUUUCUUUCUUUUUUUAAAUGUUCUUCCUCUAGCGAUGCUCUGCCCCCCUUAUCUCCCCAGUAGCUGGGAUUACAGACGCCCACCACAACGCCUGGCUAUUUUUGAUGUUAGUAGAGACGGGGUCUUACUCUGGCUCACUGCUGCUCAUACUGGUCUCAAACCUCUGAGCUCAGGCAAUCCACCCGCCUCAGCCUCCCACAGUGCUGGGACUACAGGCGUGAGCUACCACGCCCGGCCUGUUCAUCAUUUUUCUUUGUGAUACACCCCUGGAAUGUUUAAUACCAUAAGCUGCAAGGGAAUUGGGAAGGUAUGAUAAAUGGAUGGGAGCUCCUAUAACGGCAAUUGGCUGGAAAAGGAGAUGCAGGCUUUUGAACACAAAUGCUCAACAAAGAUACAGGAGAAAGUAAGCAAGAUUAACACACAGCAGAAAAAUCUGCAAGUGGAAAAGUAGAAGGAAAAUAAAUUUAAAGGAGAGGGAGCAGCAGAAAGGAGUGACUUUCCUUGCCCUUGUUAGUAAACCGAGAAACGGCACUGGCUCCCAAGUGAGAGUUAUACCACCUUACCAAGCACUGGGGACCUAGUUCAGAAUUAAGGGGGAGAGCAGUUUGUAGUGUUUACAUUUAUCCUCAUGAAAAUAAAUUUAUUGAGCAUUUACUAUACAGGGAGGCCAUAAAGUUCAUGUGCAAUUUUAUAUUGCACACCAUUUGAAAUUGCACAUGAACAUUAUGGCCACCCUGUAUAUCAGAUACUGCAGUGAAAGCUUUAUGUGUAUACAUUCGUUUGAUCUUCUCAACCCUGUAAGUACUAUUAUCAUAGCCACUUAAGAUAAAGAAAUGAAGGCACAGAGGUUAAUAUGCCCAAAGUGCAGUUACUAAGUGGCAGAAGAUCUGAACCCCAGUGAUGACUCAUUUGUACUAUUAAUUAUACCACUCAAUAUCCUCAAAAUAGAAAACAUUAGAACAGUAGUGUUAAAAUUCCAAAAUUACUCCCUUUCUCAUCUUAGAAAAAAUUCUUGGCUCGGCACCCGUAGCACAGUUGUUACAGUACCAGCCACAUACACUGAAGUUGACAGGUUUGAACCUGGGCUGGGCCAGCGAGGCAACAAUGACAACUGCAGCAAAACAAUGGCUGGGCAUUGUGGCAGGUGCCUGUGGUCCCAGCUAAUUGGGAGGCCGAGGCAAGGAAAUCGUUUGGGCCCAGGAGUUUGAGGUUGCUGUGAGCUGUGGCACCUCAGCACUCUACUGUGGGCAACAUAGUGAGACUCUGUCUCAAAAAAAAAGAAAA